rnacentral:rRNA from 1 species
CCUACGGGAGGCAGCAGUGAGGAAUAUUUGUCAAUGGACGCAAGUCUGAACCAGCCAUGCCGCGUGCAGGAAGACGGCUCUAUGAGUUGUAAACUGCUUUUGUACGAGGGUAAACUCAGAUACGCGUAUCUGUCUGAAAGUAUCGUACGAAUAAGGAUCGGCUAACUCCGUGCCAGCAGCCGCGGUAAUACGGAGGAUUCAAGCGUUAUCCGGAUUUAUUGGGUUUAUAGGGUGCGUAGGCGGUCGGAUAAGUUAGAGGUGAAAUCCCGAGGCUCAACUUCGGAAUUGCCGCUGAUACUGUUAGGCUAGAGAGUAGGUGCGGUAGGCGGAAUGUAUGGUGUAGCAGUGAAAUGCUUAGAGAUCAUACAGAACACCGAUUGCGAAGGCAGCUUACCAAGCUACGUCUGACGUUGAGGCACGAAGGCGUGGGGAGCAAACAGGAUUAGAUACCCUUGUAGUC